rnacentral:rRNA from 1 species
GACGAACGCUGGCGGCGUGCUUAACACAUGCAAGUCGAACGAUGAACCCGGAGCUUGCUCCGGCGGAUUAGUGGCGAACGGGUGAGUAACACGUGAGUAACCUGCCCUUGACUCUGGGAUAACUGCUAGAAAUGGUAGCUAAUACCGGAUACGACCCUCGGUGGCAUCACCAGGGGGUGGAAAGAAUUUCGGUCAAGGAUGGACUCGCGGUCUAUCAGCUAGUUGGUGAGGUAGCGGCUCACCAAGGCGACGACGGGUAGCCGGCCUGAGAGGGUGACCGGCCACACUGGGACUGAGACACUGACCAGACUCCUACGGGAGGCAGCAGUGGGGAAUAUUGCACAAUGGGCGCAAGCCUGAUGCAGCAACGCCGCGUGAGGGAUGACGGCCUUCGGGUUGUAAACCUCUUUUAGUAGGGAAGAAGCGAAAGUGACGGUACCUGCAGAAAAAGCACCGGCUAACUACGUGCCAGCCGCCGCCGUAA